AAAAUUCAUUGAUGGAAAGUGUAAGGAUCCUGAUCACAUUUGAUCAAAAGCACAGGAAUAAUUUUCUCAUGUAUUUUUUAUGUAGUACUGUAGCAGGAAACGCAUCUGAUUCAGUUUUAUAUUUCCCUGCAUUAAUAUUAAUAUGCAUCUUGGUGACAAUAGAAUAUCACUUUCAGAAUAGGUUUCUUCACUUGAGUUUCAGAAGUUUGCACAGAUGGAGUGAGAUUUUAUCAUUUGCUGAAAUUAAAUAUUGAUAUGCUAGCUUUGAACAAACCGCUGUUGUCCCUCCGGUAAAAUUGAAGAAAAUUAGUGUGAAAUUCCCAUAAAUUCCCGAAAUCUAAUUAUUACCUAUUCAUGAUGCCUUUACCAUCAAUCAUAAUCUUGCCAUGUUUUGAUUGUAGGAUAGAGGUGCAUUUAUAUAUGCUGGGACAGGGAUUGUGGAAGGAAGCAGUCCUUAUCUGGAAUGGGAUGAGCUAGAACUCAAGACAUCUCAGUUCACCAAGUUGCUCAAGCUGGACUUGCCUCAGAGACAAAAAGUAGAUUGUAAAUGAGCUCCACUGAUACGUUUUUCUAAAUGAAGUUUGAGAUUAUGGUAUUUCCUUCCUUUGGAUAUUGGCCUAAUAAAUUUGGCGGGAGGAUAUGGACAACAUAUUAGUUUGUACAAAUGAGGUUUAUAUAUGGAUUAAGUUCUUGGCUCAUUUGAGAAGAUUCAAGAAAACUAGUCAAUUUGUAUAUGGGUUAAGAAGCCAAGACUACAAUUCUUUCCCCUAAUACCUUUGUUGUAUUAGGGAUUAAUCUUAAGGAAAAUCAUAAUCA